rnacentral:tRNA from 1 species
AGUCCAGUGGUUAAGACUCUGCACUUCUAAUGCAGAGGGUGUGGAUUCAAUCCCUC